rnacentral:rRNA from 1 species
CAGCAGCCACGGUAAAACGAAGGGGGCUAGCGUUGCUCGGAAUGACUGGGCGUAAGGGGCGCGUAGGCGGCGGCCAAAGUCAGGCGUGAAAUUCCCGGGCUUAGCCUGGGAACUGCAUUUGUGACUGGCAAGCUAGAGUAUGGCAGAGGGGGGUGGAAUUCCGCGUGUAGCAGUGAAAUGCGUAGAUAUGCGGAGGAACACCGAUGGCGAAGGCAGCCCCCUGGGCCAAUACUGACGCUCAUGCACGAAAGCGUGGGGAGCAAACAGGAUUAGAUACCCGCGUAGUCCCUGUCUCUUAUAC